rnacentral:misc_RNA from 1 species
UAAAGUGCGAUAUGUAAUGCGAUCUGCAUGAAUCUGUGAGUCAUCAAAUCUUUGAACGCAACUUGCGCCUCUCUGAGGCAUGUCUGUUUGAGCGUCGCUUACUAUGUUGAUAAUUGACUUUGCAUCUUGCAUUGUUUAAAAGCAGCUCGACACCAAUCAUUGGGUAGAGGUGAAUUAGAGUGCCAAGCAUCAUCCAAUUCAUCCCCACUCUCUCUAUUGACCUCAAAUCAGGCAAGAUUACCCGCUGAACUUAA